UACGGAGGGUGCAAGCGUUAAUCGGAAUUACUGGGCGUAAAGCGUGCGCAGGCGGUUUGUUAAGUCUGAUGUGAAAGCCCUGGGCUCAACCUGGGAAUUGCAUUGGAUACUGGCAGGCUAGAGUGCGGUAGAGGAUGGCGGAAUUCCCGGUGUAGCAGUGAAAUGCGUAGAGAUCGGGAGGAACAUCUGUGGCGAAGGCGGCCAUCUGGACCAGCACUGACACUGAGGCACGAAAGCGUGGGGAGCAAACAGG
rnacentral:rRNA from 1 species